UCAAAUUGUAUUUUUCAGCCAUUACAUUGUUACUUCCAGUAGCUACUGCCUUGUGCAUGUAUGAACAUCUCGUUUAAUGAAAAAUGAAAUGAUCAAAACCAUAUAAGAAUAAAGUAAAUGAACUGAAUAUCCUAAAAUUAGUUUACAACAUCGUCAACUGUGAUUAGGUCCUGUUGUUAAUGGUGUUUAAUGGGGGCUAAUUAUCUUCAAUAGGCAGCUAAUUAUUAGCUAACUGUAGCUGUGAAUAUUCAUCAUUUGAAGUUGGAGGAAGAGGAGGAGAACGAACAACUUCUUUACGAACGAACUGGUGGCCAUUUUUGCAAAGAUGGUAAUAAAAGAUGUUCGUCAUAUCUAAGAACUCUUCCUGCAACUACUUCACUUGUUUGACUACAAAUUGUGAAAAAAAAGUAGUAAUAAUAUUGUUAUGUUACGAGCAGGAGCUGAAAAAUUGUUACUUUGAGUUCUCAUAAUGUUGAUAUUUUUGUCCAAGCUGGG
rnacentral:lncRNA from 1 species